rnacentral:rRNA from 1 species
AGUGAACGCUGGCGGUAGGCCUAACACAUGCAAGUCGAACGGCAGCACAGUAAGAGCUUGCUCUUACGGGUGGCGAGUGGCGGACGGGUGAGGAAUACAUCGGAAUCUACUUUUUCGUGGGGGAUAACGUAGGGAAACUUACGCUAAUACCGCAUACGACCUACGGGUGAAAGCAGGGGAUCUUCGGACCUUGCGCGAUUGAAUGAGCCGAUGUCGGAUUAGCUAGUUGGCGGGGUAAAGGCCCACCAAGGCGACGAUCCGUAGCUGGUCUGAGAGGAUGAUCAGCCACACUGGAACUGAGACACGGUCCAGACUCCUACGGGAGGCAGCAGUGGGGAAUAUUGGACAAUGGGCGCAAGCCUGAUCCAGCCAUCCCGCGUGGGUGAAGAAGGCCUUCGGGUUGUAAAGCCCUCUUGUUGGGAAAGAAAAGCAGCAGGUUAAUACCCCGCUGUUCUGACGGUACCCAAAGAAUAAGCACCGGCUAACUUCGUG